rnacentral:rRNA from 1 species
GUACGGGAGGCAGCAGUCGAGAAUUUUUCUCAAUGGGCGAAAGCCUGAAGGAGCGACGCCGCGUGGGGGAUGAAUGGCUUCGGCCCGUAAACCCCUGUCAUUUGCGAACAAAUUGACUCACUUAACACGUGUGUCAUUGAUUGUAGCGGAAGAGGAAGGGACGGCUAACUCUGUGCCAGCAGCCGCGGUAAUACAGAGGUCCCAAGCGUUGUUCGGAUUUACUGGGCGUAAAGGGUGCGUAGGCGGUUGUUUAAGUCUGACGUGAAAUCUCCGGGCCUAACCCGGAAACUGCGUUGGAUACUAUUCAACUAGAGGAAUGGAGGGGAGACUGGAAUACUUGGUGUAGCAGUGAAAUGCGUAGAUAUCAAGUGGAACACCAGUGGCGAAGGCGAGUCUCUGGACAUUUCCUGACGCUGAGGCACGAAAGCCAGGGGAGCAAACGGGAUUAGAUACCCCCGUAU